AGAUUUCUUUUGAUUUGUGACCAUCUUUUGUUUGUUCAUGAUAGGGGAAGCAUCAAGCAAAACAAUACUGUACAUUUGAAGAUAUAGUUGUGCAUAGAUAUACUCCAUUUUAAUUGGUUCUAACCUAAUAGUGAAUAUUGUUUCAAUACUAACUUAUUGUUAUCACAAUUUUUUAUUGGAAGUCGUGCUCUCUUUGUGCUUUGUUGUUGAUCCCGCAUAUAGAGAUGAAGUAAUUUUCCUCUCACUGUGCAGAUGGGAAAAGAUGUGCCAUUCGUAAGCCAGAAAUGGAAGAGAAAAAGCUGGAAACAACUGCAUAGGAGUAAGGGAAGUGGGCCUGGCCGACUUUUGGGGCCAAAAGCAGUGCCUCCCAAAAUCAUAGGUGGUCCAAAUGGCAAGAAGAUUUUUACAGCAGGUGUCAAGAGCACUGUGCCUGCUUUGCAUAAGCCAACCCCUUCAAAUUUGCAAUCUCCUGUUCCAAGGUGAUCCUUGGUACAAAAAAAGGAAAUACUACAAUCUGGAAAAUCAAGGGUGAUGCUGAAACAAGCUGAGCCUUCAUACAAACAUAAGCCGAUGAUGCAUAAACAGGCAGUGCCAUUGUCCAAUUCUCAGGUCCAAAUUUUUUUUUGUUGAAGAUCACAACAAAUGAACCUAUUACCUGACUGACCUUCAACUUAAUACAUCACCUAUUGUUAUUAUGUAAAUGGAAUAUACAUGAUUACCUUUUAAGCCUCUGAAUCGAAAUUUAAACAUGAUGUUUGCUUUCCAAUUAGUAUUACUAUGUUUUUUCAAGUAAAGUCGACUUUAUACCUCUAAAAUUUGAUUAUGUUGGGCCGUGCUGAUACGGGUAUACAUCUCUAGUAAGAAAAGAAUAAUUUGCAUAUGAAAGGAGUCUUAUGUAAAUGGUUAUCAUAUUUGAUUUUAUAUUUACUUAAAUAAGAUAAAUUUAACCUUAGGUGUUAAAAAUAAAGUAGGAAUAUUAACAAGUUGCUAUAUCGCUAUAUUUUUCUUAAAUUUUUGACAACGUUCAUUAAGAAUUUUGUCUAAUUGCAGGUUUUUGUAAGCUUUGUAAGAUGUUUAGAGCAAAACAAGUGGAAAUAAAUUAGUAUAGGGAAAAUUAGUAUAGGGACAAAACUAGAAAAACGCAAAUUCUGAUUAGCAAGGUUAUGAAAGGCGAUGAUCAAGAAUCAAGUCUGAGAAAGCGGAGCCCAGUCAAAUGCCAUGUUCUGAAUGCACCAUUCCGCAAGAGUCAAAGUCAGGCAUCAAAGGUUAUUAUUUGGGGACAAAAGUGGAGUGGAUAUUCGAUUUUAUGUUUACUUAAAUAAGAUAAUUUAACCUUAGUUGUUAAAAAUGAAGUAUGAAUAUUGACAAGUUGAUAUAUCACUAUAUUUU